UACGGAGGGUGCAAACGUUGCUCGGAAUCAUUGGGCGUAAAGCGCACGUAGGCGGCGCGUUAAGUCGGGUGUGAAAGCCCUGGGCUCAACCCAGGAAGUGCAUUCGAAACUGGCGCGCUUGAAUAUGGAAGAGGGUCGCGGAAUUCCCGGUGUAGAGGUGAAAUUCGUAGAUAUCGGGAGGAACACCGGUGGCGAAGGCGGGUCUCUGGGCCGAUACUGACGCUGAGGAGCGAAAGCGUGGGGAGCGAACAGG
rnacentral:rRNA from 1 species